UACAGAGGAUGCAAGCGUUAUCCGGAAUGAUCGGGCGUAAAGCGUCUGUAGGUGGCUUUUUAAGUCCGCCGUCAAAUCCCAGGGCUCAACUCUGGACAGGCGGUGGAAACUACCAAGCUGGAGUACGGUAGGGGCAGAGGGAAUUUCCGGUGGAGCGGUGAAAUGCGUAGAGAUCGGAAAGAACACCAGCGGCGAAAGCACUCUGCUGGGCCGAUACUGACGCUGAGGAGCGAAAGCGUGGGGAGCGAACAGG
rnacentral:rRNA from 1 species